AGGAGAUACCGCAGGAUAUGGUUUGGGAUGAUUUGGUUUGGCAUAAGCAUGUUCCGCUUAAGGUGUCUAUUUUCGCUUGGCGGUUGCUUCGUGAUCGACUUCCCACUAAGUCUAACUUAGUAACCUGUGGUAUCUUGGAUUUACAGGCGUGUUUAUGUGUGUCAGGUUGUGGACUGUUGGAAGAUGCACACCAUAUAUUUCUGUCUUGC
rnacentral:lncRNA from 1 species